GACGAACGCUGGCGGCGUGCUUAACACAUGCAAGUCGAACGGAAAGGCCCUGCUUUUGUGGGGUUCUCGAGUGGCGAACGGGUGAGUAACACGUGAGUAACCUGCCCUUGACUUUGGGAUAACUUCAGGAAACUGGGGCUAAUAUCGGAUAGGAGCUCCUGCUGCAUGGUGGGGGUUGGAAAGUUUCGGCGGUUGGGGAUGGACUCGCGGCUUACCAGCUUGUUGGUGGGGUAGUGGCGUACCAAGGCUUUGACGGGUAGCCGGCCUGAGAGGGUGAACGGCGACAAUGGGACUGAGGUACGGCGCAGACGCGUACGGGAGGCAGUGGUGGGGAGUAUGGCACAGUGGGCGGACGCGUGAUGCGGAGACGCCGGGUGCGGGAUGACGGCCUUCGGGUUGUAAACAGCUUUGGCCUGUGACGAAGCGUGAGUGACGGUAAUGGGUCAAGAAGCACCGGCUAACUACGUG
rnacentral:rRNA from 1 species